UCUCUACUGCAGCCCGGUGCGUGGCACACCCUUAGUGGUCCUAAUUUCUAGGUUCACUGCAUCAUUUUUCCUGGGCUCCUAAGCCUAGUGGGCCUGUGGUGCACACCCUACUCCAUGAGCUCUUGGAAUCCAAGCAGUACAGAUAAAACAAAAUAAAUGCUGAUAACAAAACACCUGCUUUGCAGAUGAGGACACCAAGCCUCAGAGAGGUUCAGCUUUUCCAUGGUCACCUAGCUGCGAAGUGACAGAACCAGAAUCUGACCCAGGUCCGCCUGUCUGUCUCCAGGACCUGUGCUUCUGAUCCCCACUGUGCACCCCUCUCACCCAGCCCACGUCUGCAGAGCACCCACGGCACACCGCACUGCCCACGUGGGGCGGGGACUUGCGAGCCGAGCAAAGCUGGGCCAGUUUUCAGUACUCAGAGCGUCAUAAGGAGGUGUGUUCAUUUCCUGCAGCCGCUCUAACAAGUAGCCGCACACUUUGUGGUCUCAAACAACAAAAAUCUAUGAUCUUACAGUUCUGGUGGCCAGAAGUCUGAUGCAGUGUCCCUGCCCAGGCAACAGCCAGGCUGCACGUCUUCUAGAGGCUUCAGGAGACAAACCCAUUUCCUUGCUUUUUCUAGCUCCUAGAAGCCGCCCGUGUGCCUUGGCUCAUGGCCCCUUGCUCCAGUCUCAAAGCUGGAGCAUCUCAUCUUCGUUCUCUCUCUCCGCUUCCAUCUUCUUCCUCUUUCCUUUUGUGUUCCGGGCCAAGCCUCCCUCUGCUGCCCUCUUAGGAAGACCGUUGUGACUACAUCCAGCCACCCAAAGAAUUCUGAAAAUCUCCCCGUCUCAAGAUCUUUGAUUUAAUACAUCUGCAAAAGCCUUUUUGCCACAUAGAGGUUCCACUGUUUUGAAGAUAUAAUCCCUAAAAGAUACCCCCAAAGAACGGAAGCUUUGCCUUGAAAUUUUACACGGCUCAGCUGCUGGGUGUCAUCUCUCCCGGCCAUAAGCAUUUAUUCUGUGAGGGCUGCAUACGAGGAUGCUGAGCACACACAGGCCCGGCCCCUGCAGAAUGUCAUGCCUUCUGUUUUCAUUCUGUGUUGCCUCCUAUUUAAUUUCCCCUCUUCGGGUGGUUGACAAGCUGGCUAUGGCCUGAGGGGGUCUUAACAGGGAUGGCUGGCUUCUCAGAGGAAUGGGUGCCAAAGGGACAGGCAGGUGGCAGCGCUGAGGUCUAGGCCGGCAGAGGAAGCGGGCGACCCGGGAGUGAGGGUGGCGACUUGGUGUGAGGGAGCAGGCGGCUCCUUCAGACUUGCUUCACUGCUGCCCUCCUCUGGCUUGAACCCUGAAUGGCUCCCCAUUGCCUUCACUACAAACCCCAAACCUCCUACAUUUAACAUUUAAAAAAUUGAGAUGUGAUAUGCAUAUGUAUGUACACUGGUCAUAAAUAUAUGGCUUGAUUGGU